CAGGGUCUCACUAUGUAAUCUAGGGUGGCCUCAAACUCAUAGCGAUCUUCCUGCCUCAGCCUCCUGAGUCCUGAUCACAGGUUGUGCUCCACAGAUGCAGGCUGGCUCUGGAUCCUAUUACUCUGCCAACAAACAACGUGGCUGUGGAUUUGGCUGCAUUGAACGCACUUUUUUGUUGUUUCUGAUGAAAGAAAGCAGCUAAGCAAGGAGAUGGAAGACAGCCACGGGCUGGCCCACAGUGGGUGCCACCCUCUGGAGCAAGCCUGAAGUGAGGGCCACCACUUUCUGUCCUGUUUAAAAGGAUCUCCCUGCUGUGCCCAUGUCGUUAUCAAAAGACAGCCUGCUCUCAAUAAAUGCUUCCUCCGGAGCCGCAGCUCUGAAGUACAGUACCUGGCCAUGGAUGCAGGCUGAGGAGGGAAGUGGACCGGCCAAGCCUGCAGCAAUGUGACAGGUGGAAGCUGACGGGUCCAAAGGAAUCUGGAGCCAACUUGAAGCAGCUCUCACUGGGCAUUAGCUUCCUGCUGCCACUCUGUGAGCUCCUCCUCUGCCCUGCCCCUCUGCCAUGCCACUCUCCCAGCCAGCUAUGGACUGAAACCUCUACAAACUGUGAGCCAAAAUAAACCUUUCCUCCUUUAAGUUGUGGCUGUUGGGUACUGUGUCUCAGGGAUGAGAAACUAAGACGGGGGAUAUUCUCUUUCUAAAAUAAAUGAAGAAGGAAUGAUAGAAAUAGAG
ensembl:lncRNA